rnacentral:lncRNA from 1 species
AAGUACUUGAAAAUUUCAAAUCCAACUACUUGAAAAUUUUAUCUCGUUCUUCUAAAAAGCUAUUGAUUUGCCAACAAACCACUUAACCAAACAAAUAUCAUCUUUCCAACAAACCAGUUAGCCAAACAGAAUUACAAAGCCUUAAGGCCCAAAUCAAAUUUAAGUUUAAGGGCCACCACAAUUCAAAUCCACUAUAGAAAAAUUAUAACAAACCCAGAUUUCAGCAGAAGAUUCCAACAUCUCUCACUACAUCAUAAGAAUUUUACUGAAAUAAAUUUACUUAAAUCCAAUUACUCAACAUUGAACGUAGCUGUUGAAUACCAAAGAUCUCAAAAAAUAAAUAAACAUAACAGUAAAGAUGUGAUAAUAAAAGGAAAACCUGCAAGCCCCCAAAGCAGUUGCAGAAUAUGGAGACCCUUGUUUGACAAUAGAAUAUGUAAUUCAAGGCAAGCUUGUACCCAAUUUCUACUGUAACAGUAUGGCUAGGUUUGCUACCUGAAGCUUCUCAUACACCAGCCUAACUCCCUUUCCUGUGCUUAGUUAUUCUGUACAACUGAUUUGGUCUUAUCAUCAAGUCUCAAUCUGCCCAUAAGUUUGAAUUCUUGGCCAAGAACCCAAAAACACUGGCCAAGGUAUCUCCUAUCACUUUAUUUUAAACUAACACGGAUCUUCACACUGUUUUUCAGAACUUUCCACAUUUGCUAUUAGCCUCAUUAUCACCAGAGUGUAUAUAAAACUCAUCUACUGAUAAAUAUCACCAGAUAAAAAUAGUUUAGGGGAAAGGGACCUUAUUUUUAUUAAAUCUUUUCAUCUCAACCAGGACCAAAGCAAAAAUUCGAUCGAAGUAGAUGCUAUAGAUUUUACUAACUAAAUGCUUAACAAACAAGGGACAUAUAUGUAUGGAGCAAAACCAUCACUAUUCUUGUUUUAAAAUGUGCAGCUAGAUCAAUGAUGCAAUUGUUACCUCACAAAGAGCUACAAGCAUUAAACAAGGGGAGAUCUCACAGGCUUUACUUUGUAUGUAAUUUAAUAGAUGUUUCUGUCUCUGUUCAUCCAGACCCUUGCAAUCCACAAGCUCAAUAGAAGGUGGUUCUUUUGGAUACUACAACAAGAAAGGAAGUAAAAGUCAAUUUUCUAAGUCACUUUACUACCUGUAAGGGAAACCCAUUUAAAAUACUAGGUGCAUGUGUUUUACACUGUGUAGAAUUCAAACUACCUCGAAGAAAACUACACAGUCCAUACAUAUACAAAGUGAAUGUGAUACUUUACUCGGAUCACAUGCAUAUUUACAGAAAAAAUGUACCUGUGAGGUAGCUUUUAUCUCCAGAACAGCUUCCACAAACUGCAAAGAAAAUGAACAUAAGAAACUACCAAAAAUCAGACACUUGCUCCAGUGGCAGAGCUGCAAAUCUAAAAUCGACACCAACAGAUUAAGGGGGAUAUAACUUUAAAUCAACACCGAUAAUCAUACACUUGUAUAUAAUCUUUAAUACAUCAGCAAUCUAACUUGUUUUUACAUUGUCAUGUGUGUCCAAUCACGUACAGUAAGAUCACAGAUUAUUGUAACAACUACUUCAAAAGUCAUACUUGUGAUUUCUAACUGAUUAACAAUAUAAAAAUCUUUACACUGAAAUUGCUUAAAAUUAAUCUCAAAAACAAAAUUAGCAAACCAAACCCCCAUUCCAAUCACUUAAAANUUACAAGCAUUCAUCACGAUAGUCCUUAAUUUUACAAAAUAUCCGCUUUAGUCCCUAAAUUUACAAAAAUCACUCAUUUCUGUCAUUUUAAUUCUACUGUCCUUUUGCCCUAAAAAUAAACACCAAAGUAAGAAUUCCGUAAAGAUGUGAUAAUAAAAGGAAAACCUGAAGNCAAACUGCAUGUACUUUGAAAAAUAGAGUUUGCAGGAUGUAUUAAGAAGAAUAAGCUGAGUUACAAACCAUAAUGCAGAGUUCUUAUAUUUUUUUAUCAUUUCACUAUGUAUAUGAUACUUGCAUCACAUUGACUUCAAAGAGUUUCAGUUGAUACAUACAUUACUUAAAUUAGGAAGUUCCAGAUCAGAUGAAGAGCUUGCAUAUUCUCACUUACACAAAGAAAGUGAACAAUGUUUAUUGAUGUAAU